UGAAAAUGGACGGUCUGAUUCAAAAUCGAAAUUAGUUUCUUUUUUGUUAAUCGAAUCGCAUCGAAAUAAGUUCGAAAAUCAAAUUGAACUUAUUGGUUGAAAUCAAUUUAGUCAUAUUGUUUGAUUUUACUCAAAAAUGACUGUUUUAUAAUAAUCGGUGUAAAGACCGAAUUUUUUGUAAUAUAACAAAUUAAAAAUUGAAAUCAAAAAACCAAAAAUAAUUCUGUUUUUUUUUUCCUCCAAAGUUUGCUCACCGAAUUUUCAAUUCUCUUGUUGUUUUUGCAUUUGUCAUUGUUGGCCUUUAUACAUUGAAUAUGGUCAAGUUGAAAGGACCUUAUUAUGCCAUAUAUUGCGUUUCAAGCCCAAGUUGAUCACUGAUCAGUGAUGAAGUUUACAAUUAUGAGCAUAAAAUUAACUGUAAAAUAUAACCCAUCCUUAAGUAUAUUCAAAUUAACACUUAAAUCUCUUUAUUUUUGAAAAAUAAUUAUAACAUUUCUAAUUUAUAUAUUCGUCUUAUAAUUGGGUCCUUCAAUCUAAAAAGUGAACUCUAUACAGUUAAUUAGACACACUUUUUAGUCGGAUUAUGGGUAGUCUUUACAUGGAAAUAGUUCACUUUUUGAAUGGAAGAAUCUGGCUAUGAGAUAAAUCAUAAAUCAAAAACAUCAUAAUUAUUUCUCAAAUAUAAAGGGACUUAAAUGUUAGUUUAAAUAUAAUUUAGAAACCUAAUUAUAUUUUAUCCCAAAAUUAAUAUACCUGGGCAAGAGUUUUUCCUUUUGCCUUCGCAAUCUCUUGUAGCAACUCACAGUCCAUGACUAAGUUUGUACCCCAUAAGGUUCCUUUGGCUCCCAAAGGAGAGUAUACGCUUACUGGUAUACCCUUUUUCUCGCAGAAAUCUCUGAGCUUCUUUUGCUGCCAAAGUGGAUUCAUCUCCACCUUCAUCAUCACCAAAAAACCCAUUUAGUAUCAUCAUUUUUAUUGUCAAAUAAAGAAUAAAAAUCUUUUUUUUUUCAACUACUGGUAUCCGAACUCUAUUAUUAGGGAUCGCCUAAUCUGGUUCGAGGUUUAGUUACAGUCAAGGCUUCUCGCCCCUCUCUGCAGGUGCAAUUAGUAGGAAUCGAACUUGAGAGCUCUUCCCACAUGUCCAGCCAACAGAACCACAAUCCGUAGGUAAAACACAAAUCAUUUUAGAUUGCCAAUAAACUUUAACUUAAUAGAUUGUAUCUUACGAUCUCUCCGUUCACAAAUAAGUGUCAUAUUUGCGAAAAUAUUGUGUCUACAAAUAAACAUCACAUCUGUGGAUUUAGAAAUACUAAAUUUUAUUCCGUGUUUAUCUUUUACAAAUUACGAAUAUUAAUUAUUAUAAUUUCCAAAAAUCUUUCUCUCUUUAUUGUAAAUAAGGGUAAUAUAACUUUUUUAUGAGAUGAGAAAAGUGGAAAUGUAACAGUUAUUUAUAAACGGAGGGAGUACAAGAUGACUUCCAGCAACAAAGAAGGAUUUAAGAUCAAAAUUUUAACAAAAACUGUAAAAAGAUUUAUAUUUUACAAUAAAGGCAUAAAACUCUCUCAUUAAACCAACAAAUUUUUGAUUAUCAAUUAAAAAAAUUAUCAAAGUAUUUUUUACAGCAUUUAUUGGGAAGAGAUGGAUGGACUUAUCCACUGUCUAAGUUUAUGUAAAAGGUGACACGGAUCUACCACAUGAGUUGUAAAUGAUCAUAUACACCCUAUUUUGUUACAUUAAUUGUAAAUGACUAUAUAUAUCCUACCUACAUUAUAAUUAUCAUUUUAUUAUUAUACUCACUAAGUCCUACAAAUAUAAAAUCCCAAUUUUUUUCACACACUUUAAAAAUCAUUACUUAAAUUACUUUAAUUAAUUAUAAUUUCAGAAUUAAUUCUUUUAAUUAUAUUAUUAUACACACGGACUAUUAUAUAAGAGUAUUUCGAAAAUAUAAAAGUGACUAUUAUUUUGAAAUAUCCAUAAAAGAAUAGUAAAUAUAACUUGAGACGGAUGAAGUAAUUAUUUUAUUUAUUGAUAUAGCUAAUUAUUACUAUUGGGUAGUCCAUAUCAGGUGAUGAACUAAAUUACUUUCAAAGAGUUGAGAAAGUCAAGUGACUCUUUACUUAUGUUAGAAUGUAACCGUAAAUUUUAAAUAUUAGAAUGAUGUCCGAAAACUCUCGCAAAUUAAGUUGAAAAAAAAAUAAUAAAAUUAGCUAAUUGACGAACUCACCUGAUUAACAGCAGGAGGAAUCUUUGCUGUGCCCAACAGAAUCUCAAGUUUCUUGCAAGAAAAAUUGCUUACUCCAAUGGAUUUUGCCAAGCCAAGCUUUUGACACUCUUCCAUAGCUUCCCAUACAGACUUAAAAUCCAUUGGAAGAAGAUCCUUUUUCUUCACUGGUAGCUCAUAUUCACCUGGCUUCAAGCUCACUGGCCAGUGUAUCAAGUACAAAUCAAUGUACUCCAAUUUAAGGUUCCUGCAUAAGUUUAAUAAAUAUUAAAUACUACUUAUCGGAUUUCAAAUUUACAAGGUAUAAUAAUAUAUUAAUGACCAAAAAAGAAUUAAAAUUUAUAUUAUGUAGUAUUUACCUGAGAGUAUUUUGUAGAGCAGGCAGAACACGAUUAUAAUGAGCAUCACAGCACCAAAGCUUAGAAGUGAGUAUUUUCUAGAGCAGGAAGGACACGAUGAUAAUGAGCAUCACUGCACCAAAGCUUGGAAGUGAUAAAGAAUUCGUCUCGGGAUUUUACAAUUCCAAGCUGUAGAGAUUCUGAUAUUGCUUCACCUAAAGGUUGUUCAGAUCGGUAAAGAGAAGCAGAAUCAAAGUGUCUAUAACCUAAUUUUAUUGCAUGGAGAAUCGAGUCUUUCAUGGUUUCAAUGGAAGCAGAGAAAGGAUAUUCAGCUGUUCCUAAACCUACAAGAGGGAUUGGAUAAUUACUUGAUAAUGUUUUCUCUGGAAUUUUAAUACUCUCCAUUUUUUCUUUAGUUUAGCAUCAUCUCCAAGUGUUCCUACAUAUAACAACUCAAUAAUAUCUUCCAAGGGAAGGACUUACGUCAACAAUAGAUAUGCCCACGACAUGUCAUGGAGAGCCAUACUUUUGCUGAGCGUUACUCAAAUGAAAGCCCAUACAAGUUCCCUCUUUGAGCUCCGGGAUGGAGAAUUUUAAUACUGAUGAUUUUAGAACAAUAAAAUAAUUUGAAGCGUAAAAUUCAUUUAUAAACGAUGUGGUCUUCCUCGCUUCUGCGGAUAUUUUUAUAUUUUUAUUUGAGUUGUAAUAUAUAUAUAUAUAUAUAUAUAUAAAGAGAAAGAGAAUGAGGAGAAAAAAGAAAGAGAAAAAUAAAAGAGUUUCAUGCAUCUCAUCUUUAAAUCAUGUGAAAUUUAUUUUAUUUGUUGCAAAUAAACAUUUAAUAAAAUUGAUUUACAAAUGAAUUUGUAUAUUUAGUAUCCUAAAUAUUAAACUUAAACUUAUUUAAGAAGUUAAUUAAUUUACAGUUGUAUCAAAUUUGUAUUCUUACUAAUUUAAAAUUCAUUUAUAAAUUAUUCAAAUUUCAUAUAAAUAUAAUUAACCUAUCAUAAAUAAUGAGAAAAUUUGAAAUAAAAUUUCAUUCAUGACUUCCAAACAUAUUCAGUAAAAUAAAAUGAAAUUCAUUCAUACAUAACCCUCAACAGUAAUAAAUAUUAAAACAUAAACAGGAGAUAUAAAUAAAUUUAAGAAAAUUGAAUAUCUUCAUCCCAAAGCUCCUCAAAAGAUUUGUAUGGACCUUCAUCGGAAAUGAAUUCAAUACCAGGAAAUCCUUUACGUUGUGGAAGUGCAUCGAUCAUCUCUAAUUCUUCUUGGCUUAAUUGCCAGUCAAAAAUGUCAAGGUUUUCUUUCAUUCUCUCCUUGUUGAAGCUCUUCACUAAUACAACUACCCCUUGCUCAUAUGCCCAUCUUAGACACACCUUCAAAUUCAUAAAAAGUAGACAAAAACUUUGUUACAUUAUGUUUCUAAUUAGGGGUGUGAAAAUGGACGGUCUGAUUCAAAAUCGAAAUUAGUUUCUUUUUUGUUAAUCGAAUCGCAUCGAAAUAAGUUCGAAAAUCAAAUUGAACUUAUUGGUUGAAAUCAAUUUAGUCAUAUUGUUUGAUUUUACUCAAAAAUGACUGUUUUAUAAUAAUCGGUGUAAAGACCGAAUUUUUUGUAAUAUAACAAAUUAAAAAUUGAAAUCAAAAAACCAAAAAUAAUUCUGUUUUUUUUUUCCUCCAAAGUUUGCUCACCGAAUUUUCAAUUCUCUUGUUGUUUUUGCAUUUGUCAUUGUUGGCCUUUAUACAUUGAAUAUGGUCAAGUUGAAAGGACCUUAUUAUGCCAUAUAUUGCGUUUCAAGCCCAAGUUGAUCACUGAUCAGUGAUGAAGUUUACAAUUAUGAGCAUAAAAUUAACUGUAAAAUAUAACCCAUCCUUAAGUAUAUUCAAAUUAACACUUAAAUCUCUUUAUUUUUGAAAAAUAAUUAUAACAUUUCUAAUUUAUAUAUUCGUCUUAUAAUUGGGUCCUUCAAUCUAAAAAGUGAACUCUAUACAGUUAAUUAGACACACUUUUUAGUCGGAUUAUGGGUAGUCUUUACAUGGAAAUAGUUCACUUUUUGAAUGGAAGAAUCUGGCUAUGAGAUAAAUCAUAAAUCAAAAACAUCAUAAUUAUUUCUCAAAUAUAAAGGGACUUAAAUGUUAGUUUAAAUAUAAUUUAGAAACCUAAUUAUAUUUUAUCCCAAAAUUAAUAUACCUGGGCAAGAGUUUUUCCUUUUGCCUUCGCAAUCUCUUGUAGCAACUCACAGUCCAUGACUAAGUUUGUACCCCAUAAGGUUCCUUUGGCUCCCAAAGGAGAGUAUACGCUUACUGGUAUACCCUUUUUCUCGCAGAAAUCUCUGAGCUUCUUUUGCUGCCAAAGUGGAUUCAUCUCCA
rnacentral:lncRNA from 1 species